AGCGAACGCUGGCGGCAGGCUUAACACAUGCAAGUCGAACGGGCAUAGCAAUAUGUCAGUGGCAGACGGGUGAGUAACGCGUGGGAACGUACCUUUUGGUUCGGAACAACACAGGGAAACUUGUGCUAAUACCGGAUAAGCCCUUACGGGGAAAGAUUUAUCGCCGAAAGAUCGGCCCGCGUCUGAUUAGCUAGUUGGUAGGGUAAUGGCCUACCAAGGCGACGAUCAGUAGCUGGUCUGAGAGGAUGAUCAGCCACAUUGGGACUGAGACACGGCCCAAACUCCUACGGGAGGCAGCAGUGGGGAAUAUUGGGCAAGGGGCGAAAGCCUGAUCCAGCCAUGCCGCGUGAGUGAUGAAGGCCCUAGGGUUGUAAAGCUCUUUUGUGCGGGAAGAUAAUGACGGUACCGCAAGAAUAAGCCCCGGCUAACUUCGUG
rnacentral:rRNA from 1 species